CUUUUUUUACAUGAGAAAGGCUUAGAAAAGGUUGUUAGUGAUAUUACUGAUUAAAAUCUGGCAAAUGAUCAAAGGUGCAUCACAAAAUAUUGCACCUUGUUCUCACUAGCAGCCUGUAGAAGGUAAGAAAAUCAUUCCGUAUAUUUUUGUCUUUGCUACUUUAUAUCAGUUGUUCAGUGUUUGGUAUGUAAGCUAGUGAGCCAGUGGAACAAAUUGGUCUCAGUGUACUAUCAUGACUGAAGCAAACAAGUUCUGAAAAAUGGAGACUCCCUGCCCAGGACAAAAUGACAAAAUGCCGGAUGGAAAAAGUUAGCGACUCGCUCGUCAACACCAUGGAGAGUCUAGAUGGCUAAAGACUGAGCACUGAAUACUUGGUGGAGACCAAGUGAGCUGUGAGGUUUUUUCCUGCUGUUUACUCUUUUUUUUUUUUUUUUUUUUUAAACUGAGAACCGGAUAAAAUACUCAGAAGAGUAAAAGCGCAACGGCAAAUAAUGUCUGCCGUCAAAUAUUGCGUGACCCAUUGUUUAUUUCAAAUGGCACUCUCCUCCCCUUCCUCUGUCUGCAUAUUACCGUUUUCAAAAUCCCCUUUGCUAUGUGAAACAACAACAACCUCCAAGCAAGUAACCUACAAGCUGAAAAUGGAAAUCGAUUUGUGUCUCUCCUGCUGCCAAUGUGUCUGGCGGACAUCUUUUACAGUACAACCCUCACGCCAUGAGCAGUCUGUGUGUCUGCUGCUGAACCACGCAGGGCCAGAUGACACCUUCGGAGCCCGGGAUCACAUUUCCAGCAUGGUCUCUGCUUCCUGCUGGUCUUGCAAAGCAUUGUAUGGGAUGCAGACAGAGCCAGAUUUCUUCCAGGAUCCAACACUCACCUUAAUCAGCAAAACGUAGUCGCUACCGGAAUAUUCAUCUCCUCAUGAUCAAUCCAGAAGAAGCUGCACAAUUAACAAAUGAACCACUAUAGUUUCAGGUGACACACAUUUCCUUUUCACAGCAACAUACGGAGGAGCAACGACGCAUUUCAACACCAGACAUGAGCAGUUUGACUGUUCUGUUACUUUAGCUCUAAACCACUAGGAAGAGAGCACCCUGCAGAGACACGUAUCAAUACAGCGUUGUGCACAUUGUGUUUUUCCCUUUUUCAGUCUAUUGAAUGGAAUUUCAUUGGAAAUCAACUGAAGAGUGACACUGCAAACUCAGCUUCCCAUUAUUUUAAAAGACAGCAGUGAGUGUGUGUCAGAACAAAUAUCUCACAGCAAGACAUUUAAAAACAUACACAAAGGCUGACAUGAAAUUCUGCUCUCCUUUAGGUCUGCAAUGAGCCUCUAAGGCAGGAUAACAAAGGAGGAUCUGAGAACUAGCAACUCAAUACUGUGCAUUCAAAGUUGACUAAUUAACUGGGAUGGUUCAAAGAAUACUGUAUGGAAAGACACUACAAAGACGUUCCCAGAAGCAUCUGAUGUACACGGCAGUGAUGGUUUUAUUCAAUGAAACGGUAAUGAACUUUAGUUCAACACAUAAAACAAGUUUCAGGUAUCACGUGUAUAACACACCCAAUCCUGUGCUAUUUUGCUUGAAACACACAUACACAAAUACAGAUCUGUUGAAUCCUCUACUAGCAACUACUGUGUCACCUUCAAUAGCGUCAGUACAUCCUGCUAAAUAUAUAUAAGCUUUGCUAGA